CUUUAAUAAACAUAUAGAAACCUCAGCAAACUUUGGCACGAUACAAAGAAUAUUAGCACGGCCCCUGCACAAGGAUGAAACAGAAGUGAUCUUUAAAAAUCAAAAUUAA